rnacentral:rRNA from 1 species
GACGUAGGGGGCCAGCGUUGCUCGGAAUUACUGGGCGUAAAGGGUUCGUAGGCGGUGUGGCAAGUCGGGAGUGAAAUCUCUGGGCUUAACUCAGAGGCUGCUUCCGAAACCGCCGUGCUAGAGUGCGGGAGAGGCGAGUGGAAUUGCAGGUGUAGCGGUGAAAUGCGUAGAUAUCUGCAGGAACACCCGUGGCGAAGGCGGCUCGCUGGACCGCAACUGACGCUGAGGAACGAAAGCUAGGGGAGCAAACAGG